GACGUAGGGCGCGAGCGUUGUCCGGAUUUAUUGGGCGUAAAGAGCUCGUAGGCGGCUUGUCGCGUCGAAUGUGAAAACUCGGGGCUCAACUCCGAGCUUGCAUUCGAUACGGGCAGGCUAGAGUUCGGUAGGGGAGACUGGAAUUCCUGGUGUAGCGGUGAAAUGCGCAGAUAUCAGGAGGAACACCGGCGGCGAAAGCAGCUUUCUGGGACGGUACUGACGCUGAGACGCGAAAGCGUGGGGAGCGAACAGG
rnacentral:rRNA from 1 species